rnacentral:sRNA from 1 species
GCUGGGUGUGGUGGCGCACAUAUGUAAUCCCAGCUACUUGGGAGACUGAGGCAAGAGGAUUGUGAAUUCAAAGCCAGCCUCAACAAAAGUGAGAAAUUAAGUAACUCGGCAAGAACCUGUCUCUA